AGACAGAGGUGGCAAGCGUUGUUCGGAUUUACUGGGCGUAAAGAGCAUGUAGGCGGUUAGAUUAGUCAGUUGUGAAAUCCUAUGGCUUAACCAUAGAAUUGCAUCUGAUACUGUCUAGCUAGAGUGCAGGAGAGGAGAGUGGAAUUUCCAGUGUAGCGGUGAAAUGCGUAGAUAUUGGAAGGAACACCGGUGGCGAAGGCGGCUCUCUGGUCUGUCCCUGACGCUGAGGUGCGAAAGCUAGGGGAGCAAACGGGAUUAGAAACCCCAGUAGUCC
rnacentral:rRNA from 1 species